AGUGAACGCUGGCGGUAGGCCUAACACAUGCAAGUCGAACGGCAGCACAGUAAGAGCUUGCUCUUACGGGUGGCGAGUGGCGGACGGGUGAGGAAUACAUCGGAAUCUACUUUUUCGUGGGGGAUAACGUAGGGAAACUUACGCUAAUACCGCAUACGACCUACGGGUGAAAGCAGGGGAUCUUCGGACCUUGCGCGAUUGAAUGAGCCGAUGUCGGAUUAGCUAGUUGGCGGGGUAAAGGCCCACCAAGGCGACGAUCCGUAGCUGGUCUGAGAGGAUGAUCAGACACACUGGAACUGAGACACGGUCCAGACUCCUACGGGAGGCAGCAGUGGGGAAUAUUGGACAAUGGGCACAAGCCUGAUCCAGCCAUACCGCGUGGGUGAAGAAGGCCUUCGGGUUGUAAAGCCCUUUUGUUGGGAAAGAAAAGCAGCAGGUUAAUACCCCGCUGUUCUGACGGUACCCAAAGAAUAAGCACCGGCUAACUUCGUG
rnacentral:rRNA from 1 species